AUGAGGCAUUUCAUCUAUGGAAAAUGCUGGUUACUGAAAUCCAAACAGUUUAUAUGUGGAGGCUGUUUUUACAGGCUGAGAAUUGGGGCUGCCGCACCGAGCAGAACACCCUGCCCAAAUUAUGUCAGCGCGUUUGAGAAGGCUAGGAGUUAUGCCAACAACCCGGCUGAGAAUGUGAUCACACCAGUGAUUGGCACUACUUUUGACUCUUUGGGUGAGGCUUAUUACUUCUAUAAUUUGUAUUCAUGGGAGAAAGGUUUCGUCAUCCGAUAUGGGAAGAGCCGGCUGAAUCUCAAGAGGACACCCGGGUCUAUCUCGCGCACUACUGGAGGUACUGCAUGGCCUGUACCUUGA
rnacentral:rRNA from 1 species